rnacentral:lncRNA from 1 species
GACGGCAGCACCGACCUGGUCCUCAUCGGGGCCCCCCAUUACUACGAGCAGACCCGAGGGGGCCAGGUGUCUGUGUGUCCCUUGCCCAGGGGGUGGAGAAGGUGGUGGUGUGAUGCUGUUCUCUACGGGGAGCAGGGCCACCCCUGGGGUCGCUUUGGGGCGGCUCUGACAGUGCUGGGGGAUGUGAAUGGGGACAAGCUGACAGACGUGGUCAUCGGGGCCCCAGGAGAGGAGGAGAACCGGGGUGCUGUCUACCUGUUUCACGGAGUCUUGGGACCCAGCAUCAGCCCCUCCCACAGCCAGACAGAGUCUCGCUCUGUCACCCAGACUGGAGCACAGUGGUGCAAUCUCCGCUCACUGCAACCUCUGCCU